AUUGAACGCUGGCGGCAGGCCUAACACAUGCAAGUCGAGCGGUAACAGGAGAAAGCUUGCUUUCUUGCUGACGAGCGGCGGACGGGUGAGUAAUGUAUGGGGAUCUGCCCGAUAGAGGGGGAUAACUACUGGAAACGGUGGCUAAUACCGCAUAAUGUCUACGGACCAAAGCAGGGGCUCUUCGGACCUUGCACUAUCGGAUGAACCCAUAUGGGAUUAGCUAGUAGGUGGGGUAAAGGCUCACCUAGGCGACGAUCUCUAGCUGGUCUGAGAGGAUGAUCAGCCACACUGGGACUGAGACACGGCCCAGACUCCUACGGGAGGCAGCAGUGGGGAAUAUUGCACAAUGGGCGCAAGCCUGAUGCAGCCAUGCCGCGUGUAUGAAGAAGGCCUUAGGGUUGUAAAGUACUUUCAGCGGGGAGGAAGGUGAUAAGGUUAAUACCCUUAUCAAUUGACGUACCCGCAGAAGAGC
rnacentral:rRNA from 1 species